rnacentral:rRNA from 1 species
UACCAGCACCCCGAGUGGUCGGGACGUUUAUUGGGCCUAAAGCAUCCGUAGCCGGUUCUACAAGUCUUCCGUUAAAUCCAACUGCUUAACAGAUGGGCUGCGGAGGAUACUAUAAGACUAGGAGGCAGGAGAGGCAAGCGGUACUUAGUGGGUAGGGGUAAAAUCCGUUGAUCCAUUGAAGACCACCAGUGGCGAAGGCGGCUUGCCAGAACGCACUCGACGGUGAGGGAUGAAAGCUGGGGGAGCAA